AUAAAUCUUCCACCGGGAAGAGAUGCAAGAGCAUCUUAAUGUAUCGUUAGGUCUUUGAAGAUACAUUUAAGAUGCUUUUUCUUUAG
rnacentral:ncRNA from 1 species